GUGUUUUUUUUCUUUCCCAAAAGCUUCUUCUUAUCUACAGAACAGAACAGAUAGAGAGCGAGAAAUCUUCAGCGUAAGAGUUACAUCGGCGUGAUCUCUUUCGCUGUGUAGCAAAUGCCCCUCCAGUUUCGUUAUCGGCUUCAAUAGAAUUUUCCUUGGUUCAGAUAUUAAUUUUUUUUUUUGGUUGAAUUUCGUUCGUCCCCGUUCAUCCAAAGCAACGAUUUUUAUUUCUGGGUUUUCGAUUCUGAAUCAAACCCAUAUCAUAUAUAUCGCAGCUUAGUUAGGGCUUUUUACACUUUUAUGUGUGUAGAUGGCGAGAAACGCCAACAACAGUAGCGUGUUUCUCGAAGAAUGGUUAAGAGUUGUGAGUGGAAGCAAAGUCUCUAGUAGUUUAGUGAAGCAGAGCUCCGCACCGUCUGCGAGGUCUAUUAUUCAAGCAUGGUCCGAGAUUCGCGAGUCUCUUCAAAGCCAGAAGUUCGACACACGUUAUCUCCAAGCUUUGAGAGCUUUGGUCAGCUCUGAGUCCACUAUCCACGUCGCUGAUCCCCAAGCAAAGCUUCUUAUCGCUAUACUAUCUUUAAAAGAUGUCUCUUCUUUUCCGUACGAGUCUCGCACGCUCGUUGUCAGGCUACUGUAUGUGUGGAUUAGGAAAGCGUUUCGACCGUCUCAGGCGCUUGUUGGUUCCGCCGUUCAGGCUAUUCGUGGAGUUGUGGAUGAUGAUGUUGGGAGGGGUAAUCUGCAGCCAGCGUUGGUAGCGCAGAGUGUUGUGGUGGCUGGUGCUUUUGCGGGUGUGCAUUCUCUGUCAGGAGAGUUGAAAGUGUUGAGCUUGGAGUUGCUGUGUAGGCUUUUGGAAGAAGAGUGGUGCUGCUCACUGGUGGGAUCUCGAGAUGAGCUUGUCCAUGUAGUGCUUGCGGGAAUCGGGUAUGGUUUAUCAUCAUCCUCUUCGUCUGAUGUUCAUUACGUUAGGCUAUUGGAUUCCUUGCUCGGCUGCGUUUGGUUGAAAGGUCCUCGUGGUAGUAGUGUCACUCAUGGUCUGAUGGUUCUUCAUUUGGUCGAGUGGGUUCUGUCAGGUUACAUGAGGUCUAACUAUGUCGACAAGAUGUCUCUUUUUGCGAAGGAGGUACUAGAGACUUCCAAGGCAAACUACACUCCUUUUGCUGUCCUCAUGGCAGCAGCGGGAGUACUGAGAGCUUCCGCGGCAGGAUCCAGUGGUGGUUCACAGAAUCUUGAGGUUGUUUCCAAAUUUAGAAACUCAGCGGAGAAACGUUUAGAAGCCGUAGCUCAGCUUUUAGUUGCUAAUGGUACUGUUACACCUCCAACCGCUCAUAGAGAUGAUCUUCUGUUGAAGUGCUUUGCUAUAGCAUUGGCUCGAUGUGGGUCCGUUUCUCCCUCUGCUCCUCUGCUUUUGUGCCUCGCUUCUGCAUUGUUAACUCAGGUGUUCCCUUUAAGCCAGAUAUAUGAAUCUUUUGGUAACGAUCCUAUUGGACCAAGACUCAUUUGGGUCAGGGAGCAUCUUUCUGGUGUUCUCUUCAAGGAAUCAGGGGCCAUAACUGGGGCUUUCUGCAAUCAAUACGCAAAAGCAAAUGAAGAGAACAAAUACAUUGUGGAGAAUAUGAUUUGGGAUUUCUGUCAAAACCUCUACUCACAGCACCGUCAGAUUGCUCUGUUGCUUCGUGGCUUAGAAGAUGCAUUGCUAGGAGACAUAGAGAAGAUUGCAGAGUCAUCUUUCCUUAUGGUUGUCGUCUUCGCGCUAGCUGUUACGAAACAAUGGUUGGAUCCAACAGUGUCUGAAGAAAGAAAGAUGGAGACAUCAGUGAAGAUACUAGUUUCAUUCUCCUGUGUAGAGUAUUUCAGACAUAUCCGUUUACCUGAAUACAUGGAGACAAUCAGAGAGGUGAUUUCAUGCGUCCAGGAGAAUGAUGCAACUUGUGUUUCCUUUGUAGAGUCCAUCCCUGCCUAUGCUAGCUUGACGAAUCCAAAAGGUUUGAGAAAUCAAUAUGAAUGGUCAAGAGAUGAUGUGCAGACAUCUCGAAUAUUGUUUUAUCUUCGAGUGAUCCCAACUUGCAUUGGACGGUUAUCUGCUUCUGCCUUCGGGAGAGUCGUUGCAUCAACCAUGUUUUUAUAUAUUGGACAUCCUAACAGGAAAGUGGCACGAGCAUCUCAUACAUUGUUUGUAGCAUUCCUCUCUUCAGCAAAGGAAACAGAAGAGGACGAAAGAAACCAACUCAAAGAAGACCUUGUUUUCUAUUACAUGGAAAGAUCGUUGGAGGUCUAUCCUGAGAUCACACCAUUUGAAGGUUUGGCUUCAGGCGUUGCAGCCUUGACACGGCAUCUACCUGCAGGAAGUCCUUCUAUAUUUUACUCUGUCCAUACCCUUGUUGAGAAGGCUUCAACGUUUAACACCGAAGGAAAAAAGUCUGAUCCUGGUAAUCAGAUUCUUGACUUGCUUCUGAGACUCGUCUCUUUGGUUGAUAUACAGGUGUUACCGUAUCUGAUGAAGUCAUUAGCACAACUUAUUAUAAUGUUACCAAAAGAAAGACAGAACAUGGUGCUUGGUGAACUGUAUGGUCAAGUGGCUGAAUCAGACGAUGUGAUUCGCAAGCCUUCUUUAGUCUCUUGGCUACAGUCACUGAACUACUUGUGUUCUAAUAACCGGACUCAAGACGCAGCUUCUGGACUAACGAUAGACACUUCUAACCAGUUGGCUGCUCGGCUCUAGGAAUCUCCUCAUAGUUUUGCAAGCAUGUUGAAAUAGAGAAUAAAAAUGUUUUCCUUGUAUUUUGUUAAAGCUUGUAUGACAAAAACAAACGAGCAGUCAACCCGGUUGGCUGCCGAAAACAAAUGUGUGAAGAGAGGAGUUAAGGAAGUGGCCAAGAGCAUUCGCCAUGGCCACAAAGGGUUAGUUUUCUAUCUUCAAAUCGGAGCUAGAGUGGCUUUUGAAUUAGAUGGCUCUUGACUCUGUUUUUUUUAGUAGAGCAGAUAUUACCCUUUGGUAGUUGUAUGUGACUUCAGGGCCAGAAUCCUCUUCCUCUUCUGUGAUCCUCUAUAAUAUCUCCAUAUCACAACCCUUCACAAUUGUCAACACUUGUAACUGCUUCAUCUUACAAGGAUGGCCUUUGUAGUAUUUCUCAUCACAAGCCCAAUCUAUUCUUCUCUCCAAACACGGAUAUUGGAGACAAUCGGUUUCUUUUUGUAUUCAUGUCCCAACCUGAGUUUUUGUCUCCACUAGAAUUCGUCUCAACAUUGACUAUUUAUUUUUCUUGCUGGCAGGCUGAAUCAAUUAAUUCGAUUUUCUUGAUGACCAAGCGGCCAACAUGUUGCCUGAUUCUAACAAAGCCUACGAAAGGAGAAGUAAGCACGAAAACUCAAGAGAAACUUAAGACGGACUAUGAUCUAGUUGUUGAAGAUGUCAAAGAACUCGCUUCAUCUACUGUGUAGUAGGAUUGCAUAUAAUGAUUUGUAUUGCUCUUUGCUGUCUCAUGUCUCACUGUACAAGUAAACGAAUCAGUCUCUUAUUAAUGGAACAUGAUACAUUGCGAA